GCCUUCUUAGCUCAGUUGGUAGAGCGCGACACUAGUAAUCUUCUGAUCAGCUUAUGUCGAGGUCGCCAGUUCGACUCUGUCAGGAGGCA